UUGGUAACUAUUAUCUUGCACAUUGUAUUUACGAUUUCUCAAACAUUAGCCGUGAACAAGUCCUGUGAUUCUGAUGGACUGGCCUCGAUUAAGAAGAUGACCUGAAGCGAUAUUUGAAGACAUUCAUACUAACGAAUGAAAAACUAAUGAAAGAUCCUGAUAUAAAAAAAAACAACAACAUGUGCUUCAUCAUGCAAUCUUCCAGGUGUUUACAAGGAUGAUGGCCCUUACUCCUGUCUCAUUGACAUCAAAGCUGUGCCUGAUCUGUGCAACUGUCAGGCUGGCCCGCCGUUGGUAGUUGGCUCUGUUGUGAGUCUGUCUGCCAUGGUGGAUCUGCUGCGAGCCGGUUCUGACCGGUCUCCGUCCUACAGCGUGCUGGCCGACCACCUGUGCAAGGUUGCUAAUGUAUCCGUCAGAAACGUUGGUAGUUGGGCUGGGAACCUCAUGAUGAAACAUGCCCACCCAGAAUUCCCUUCAGACGUCUUCACAAUCAUGGAAGCUGCCGGGGCGAAAGUCACCAUAGG